rnacentral:rRNA from 1 species
UACGUAGGGGGCUAGCGUUGUCCGGAAUCAUUGGGCGUAAAGAGCGUGUAGGCGGUCCGGUAAGUCCGCUGUGAAAGUCGGGGGGCUCAACCCUCGAAUGCCGGUGGAUACUGUCGGGCUAGAGUGCGGAAGAGGCGAGUGGAAUUCCUGGUGUAGCGGUGAAAUGCGCAGAUAUCAGGAGGAACACCGGUGGCGAAGGCGGGGUCUCUGGGGCAACAACUGACGCUGAGGAGCGAAAGCGUGGGGAGCGAACAGG